UUUUGUACAGAUGUCUACUAUACAGCUUAGAAAACCAUACCCCUUAAGAAAGCAAGAAUCCACUUCAAGUAAAAACUCUGCUAAAAAGAAAGAUGGAAAGCUGCAAAAAAUUGGAGAUUUCUUCCGAAGUUCUCCUACUAUUAUUCAGCCUAAAGCAAAGAAGCUGAUUGCAACAAUAAGCUCUCCUAAUGCUGCAGAACCAGAAAGCCUAAAAGAAAAUGAGCUGAAGCCAAAAUGAGCUAAGAGAAAGCUGUAUUCAACUGACAUUUCUUGCCCUCUAGAUAUCCCUGCUUCUUCGAUUCUUAUAGAACAAAAACAGAAGGAAAGCGAUCAUCUAAUCAUCAAGCGACUGCUUCGAUCAAAACAAGCCAAAUAAUCUUGCAACAGCAUGUUUGUAUUUCCUUGGUUAGGUCAUAUUUCUACUGUAUUAUUUCGGUUGAUUGUACAUGGGAAGUAAUAGAUACUUCA